rnacentral:rRNA from 1 species
UUCGAGUGGCGGACGGGUGAGUAACGCGUGGGUAACCUGCCUUACACAGGGGGAUAACACCUGGAAACAGGUGCUAAUACCGCAUAAGCGCACAGGGCCGCAUGGCCCGGUGUGAAAAACUCCGGUGGUGUAAGAUGGACCCGCGUCUGAUUAGCCUGUUGGCGGGGUAGAGGCCCACCAAGGCGACGAUCAGUAGCCGGCCUGAGAGGGUGGACGGCCACAUUGGGACUGAGACACGGCCCAAACUCCUACGGAAGGCAGCAG